GAUGAACGCUGGCGGCGUGCCUAAUACAUGCAAGUCGAGCGAACGGACGAGAAGCUUGCUUUUCUGAUGUUAGCGGCGGACGGGUGAGUAACACGUGGAUAACCUACCUAUAAGACUGGGAUAACUUCGGGAAACCGGAGCUAAUACCGGAUAAUAUUUUGAACCGCAUGGUUCAAAAGUUAAAGACGGUCUUGCUGUCACUUAUAGAUGGAUCCGCGCUGCAUUAGCUAGUUGGUAAGGUAACGGCUUACCAAGGCAACGAUGCAUAGCCGACCUGAGCGGGUGAUCGGCCACACUGGAACUGAGACACGGUCCAGACUCCUACGGGAGGCAGCAGUAGGGAAUCUUCCGCAAUGGGCGAAAGCCUGACGGAGCAACGCCGCGUGAGUGAUGAAGGUCUUCGGAUCGUAAAACUCUGUUAUUAGGGAAGAACAGAUGUGUAAGUAACUGUGCACAUCUUGACGGUACCUAAUCAGAAAGCCACGGCUAACUACGUG
rnacentral:rRNA from 1 species